rnacentral:rRNA from 1 species
UACCAGCACCCCGAGUGGUCGGGACGAUUAUUGGGCCUAAAGCAUCCGUAGCCGGUCCUGCAAGUCUUCCGUUAGAUCCAGCUGCUCAACAGAUGGGCUGCGGGAGAUACUACAGGGCUAGGAGGCGGGAGAGGCAAGCGGUACUUUAUGGGUAGGGGUAAAAUCCGCUGAUCCAUAGAAGACCACCAGUGGCGAAGGCGGCUUGCCAGAACGCGCUCGACGGUGAGGGAUGAAAGCUGGGGGAGCAAACCGG